ACUUGCAGGAGAUGCAGAUUCCACAGGGGAUCCAACUGAGUGGGUCAGAGGGUGGAACCCAGGAACCUGCAUUUUGGAAGGGAGGGAGGGAGAAAGAAAGGAAGGAGGGAGAGAGGAGGAAGGGAGAAGGGAGGGAGGGAGGGAGGAGGGAGAGAGGAGGGAAGGAGGAAGGGAGGGAGGGAGAGAAAGGAAGGAGGGAGUGAGGGAGGGAGAGAAAGGAAGGAGGGAGGGAGGGAGAGAAAGGGAGGGAGGGAGGGAGGUGAAACCCAGUUUGUGAGCAUCAGAACCGACCGCUGAGACUCACAGCAGACGACAGAUGAGAGAGCACAUUUUUCAGAUCCGGAUCCCAGCACAUCAGUGUCAAACGCUGCAACCCUGAAGGUGUCGUGGCACGAAGCUUGUGCCGGCAACGCCCGAAGCCAGUGCGAUCUCAGAUCCCGGAGAAGCAGAGCCUGGGUCGGGGGCUGUCCCCAUGGAGGGCCCUGCUGCUCCCCCGUCAUCACCCGCACGCCCCACAGCUGCCUCUGCGGCCGGGGACUCCCCUGGCACAUGCCCAGAGCCCGACCUGCCUGUCUCAGCCUGAGGAGCUUUGCCUGUUGUGCCUGGACUGCCAGGACCCCUGCCUGCUCUUUCCAGAAACGUCUGUGCUCCACAUCCUUCAGGACUGUGGCUUUUGACCCCGACCAGGCCUCUGCUCUUGACUAUGUUUCACGGAUCUCUUCCAUGAUGCUGGAGCUGAUGUAGACAUUGGCCGAUUCUGCGCGUCUGCUACAGGCUGGUGGCUGGGCUGGGGAGGGACAGGAUCGAAUCCUGGGCUCGCGGCUUUGGCCUGGCCCAGCCCGUCGUGGGUCUUCGCGGGGAGUGCUCCAGUAUACUGAUCACCCCACCGUUUCCCUCUCUUGCUCUCUCUCUGUCUCUGCCUUUCACAUGAAAAUGAAAAAAGAACAAGUGUGCCAUCUGCCCACCAAGAGCCUCAGGCAAGGGCUCAGAAGUGGGCGUCCUGGUUAUUCUAGAAAUAGCCGCCAGCGCGUCGAUCCGUCCUCCCGGCUCCUCCUUCACCCUGGGAAGUGGGUCGUCGUGGCUGCCCUCUGAAGCCAGGCGGAGCGAUGGGUCUCCCCCGGAGCCCGAGCGCAGAGAGGGGCUCUGGAGAGGCCAUGCGCCCGGCCGGCAGCCUGCUUGGAUACCAUGGCCUGCGUGCCGUUUGUAAGGGGCCAACGAAGGCAGCCUGGACCAAGGCGGUUAGGUAGGAAUGGGAGCUGUCAGUUCUGGUCUCCAGGUGACCUGGAGGGGGCGGCCACUUCUGUUCUCUCCUGGACUGUGCUGUGCUUGGGAUCGGGCUGGCCUCUGCUGCUCAUACUGGAAUUAUUGUUAUUUUUUUAAACAUCUAUUUGAAAGGCAGAGGUGGGUGGUGGGGGUGGAGGAUGGUUUUCCAUCUGCUUGUUCACUCCCCAAAUGGCUGCAAUGGCCAGAGCUGGGCCAGUCCGAAGCCAGGAGCCAGGGUCACCCAUGUGGGUAGUAGGGGCCCAAGCACUCGGGCCAUCCUCUGCUGCUUUCCCAGGUGCAUUAGCAGAGAACUGGACUGGAAAUGGAGCAGCUGGGACUCGAACCGGCGCCCCUAUGGGAUGCCAGUGUUGCAGGUGGAGGCUUAGCCCAUUACACCAUAGUGCCAGCCCCCUUUGUGGGCCAGCCCUUCCCCACCCCUGCGAGACAGUCUGCGUUGUUAGGGAGGGCCUGGCUCCUCCCGCCAAAACCUGCUUGCGAGGUAGAGCAGCAGCAGGCCCUGCCGGGGCUCUGAGCCUGUCCUGGUAUCCUGUGCCCUGGGAGCUGGACACGCCCCUCCUCUGCCCCACUCCCCGGUCUCCAGUAUGCCCCCGUACCCACAGCAGCCCAGGAGUAGUUCUUACGGAGAGACUGUUCCAGACUCCCCUGCAGCUGCUGCAGAGUUCCGGGGCGAGGCAGGGGCCACUGCUGUGCCACCCCCCCUCUGUCUGGGUCUCACGGCUGUGCAGAUACAUGUCUUCCCAAGCCACUGCUCAGGGGCGCUUCUGAGAGCUGGUACCCCACCCCCACCCCGGAGAGCCCCUGUGGUGCCGGCAAUCAAUCAGGUCAUCCUAUCCAUCUCCCACCCCAGGGCGCCCAGGACCCCACAAGUCCUCACCCCCACCCACAAAGGAGCCGCUCAGCCUGAUGGGGCAGGGACUUGUGCCAGGGGAGGGAGGCAGCCUCCUGGGCCCGGCUGGGGCUCCUCAGGCCUGCAGUCACUUGGGCCCUCCCUGGCCGCCAGCUCCAGGCGAGUCUAGCCCUAGGAACACAAAUCCCUUCUUGAGAGACGGCCUCAUCCAUGGGACUCCACCGGGUGGCGCUCAUCACCACGUAAGAGGAGCUCAAUUUUUGCACAGUGGACAUUGUUGCAAAAUCUUGGGGUCAGGGCUGGAGCUGUGGCGUAGUGGGUAAAGCCGCCCCCUGCAGUGUCCACAUCCCAUAUGGGCGCCAGUUUGAGUCCUGGCUGCUCCACUUCUGAUCCAGCUCUCUGCUGUGGCCUGGGAAAGCAGUGGAAGAUGGCCCAAGUCCUUGGGCCCCUGCACCUGCAUGGGAGACCCGGAAGAAGCUCCUGGCUCCUGGCUUCAGAUCAGCGCAGCUCCAGCAGUUGUGGCCAAUUGGGGAGUGAACCAGCGGAUAGAAGACCUCUCUCUCUCUCUCUCUCUCUCUCUCUCUCUCUCUCUCUCUCCCUCUCCUUCUCUAACUCU